CACGGGGAAAAAAAAAAAAAACGCGUAUUAAGAACCGAACACGCCAUUCUCACACCCCCCCUCCUCUUCUUCUCCUUUCAUCUUCACCUCCAUCGACGAUUCUCUCUCUCUCUCUUGCGGGCCUUCCACGGCCACCACCAGAGGACGCCGAUCGGAGCUCCGGCGAUCCAUGCGCCGGCGACGGCGCCGCCACGGCUGAUUCGGCGGGGAUCUCGGCGAAGAGUCGCUGCGUCGGUAGGGUUUUUAUGCGUAGAGAUGGCGCCGGGGGCGGCGGAGGGCUCCGGCGGCGGGGGAGGCGGAGGAGGGGGAGGCGGCGGCGGGGGAGGGGGAUGGGUGGAGUCGUACACGGGCAUGUCCUCCGAUAACAUAAAGGGCUUGGUGCUCGCGCUCUCGUCGAGCUUCUUCAUCGGCGCCAGCUUCAUCGUCAAGAAGAAGGGCUUGAAGAAGGCCGGGGCGUCCGGGGUUAGGGCAGGAGUUGGAGGCUAUUCAUACUUGUACGAGCCACUUUGGUGGGCAGGCAUGAUAACAAUGAUUGUUGGGGAAGUGGCUAACUUUGCAGCUUAUGCAUUUGCUCCUGCUAUUCUGGUUACUCCUCUUGGCGCUCUUAGCAUUAUAAUCAGUGCUGCUCUUGCACAUAUCAUAUUACGGGAGAGACUACAUAUAUUUGGCAUUCUUGGAUGUGUUCUCUGUGUUGUGGGAUCAACUACCAUUGUCCUCCAUGCCCCUCAAGAACGUGAGAUUGAGUCUGUGGCAGAAGUAUGGGAUCUAGCUACAGAACCAGCUUUCCUUCUGUAUGCAGCAAUGGUACUUGCAGCAAUUUUCAUACUCAUUUUCCAUUUUAUACCACAAUAUGGACAGACGCAUAUUAUGGUGUACGUUGGUGUUUGUUCUCUUGUAGGCUCUCUAUCGGUCAUGAGUGUGAAAGCUCUUGGAAUAGCUUUGAAGUUGACAUUUUCAGGGAUGAAUCAGCUAAUAUAUCCACAAACAUGGGCUUUCACUAUAGUCGUUUUUGCUUGUGUGAUUACCCAAAUGAAUUAUUUGAACAAGGUGACAGCGAUGCAACAAAUUAGAGACGAACAAUGUUCUAAUUCUACACACAAUGUUGCUCUUGACACAUUCAACACAGCAGUUGUCUCACCCAUAUAUUACACAAUGUUUACAUCGCUAACCAUUUUGGCUAGUGUUAUCAUGUUCAAGGACUGGGAUCGGCAAAAUCCAACGCAAAUAGUAACUGAGAUGUGUGGUUUUGUUACGAUUCUCUCCGGAACUUUUCUUCUUCACAAGACGAAGGACAUGGCUGAUGGGCUUCCACAAUCUCUAUCAAUGCGGCUUCCAAAACACGCAGAUGAGGAUGGCUAUCCGGCCGAAGGCAUUCCUCUGAGGUCUCAGGAAUCAUUUCGGUCGCCAUAACCCGUACAUCAUAUUCCAUCUGCUUUUUGCGCAUUAGGGUUCCCUCCACCAUCCACUCUUGAUGUAACUAAGCAAAGUAGUUUGUAACUUUUCCGAGGAAUACAAAAUUGUAGAUCCUUUCAUUUUUCCUUUUCCUUUUUUUUUUUUUUUACAUCUAGGCUUUGCAAACCCCCCCUUGUAUGCGUCACAUUGUUAAAAGAGUCAUGGGGAUCACACUACUUAUACGGUCCACUGUAAUUUAGCCUCAAUUGCCGCGAAACUCGCUGUUCGCUUCAUAAUUUCCUUUGAAGUGCUUUAGAGCUGAAGGUGCUAUUCCUGUAGAGCUAUUUUGCUUCUUCUUACAUAAAACAAUGUGGACAUCGGAGAAUGCCGAAGAAGAGCCACCAUAGUAGAGACAACGGAGCAUGCAUUGAGUCGCCUUUCGGAAUGGCAAAUGUUUGUGGGAAAGCAUUGUAACAACCCCGAAGAAUAAAUGGUGAGCUCGGCGGAGCGAUCCGGCGAGAAGGCGCUUGGGCGGAACUCCAGCGGCAAGGCGCCUUCGAAGGGGCUCAGGCGAGCUCGACGGAAUCCAUGUCGUUGGGGCGAAGGAGAGAGAGCUAGCGGAUUGGGCGGUCGGAUUACCGGAUCGGGCAUAAAACGCGAACCCAAGCCCCGCCGGGUCGCGGAUGAUGCGAAGAAGGAGGAGUCCGGCACCCGCCUACCCACUUACCAGCACUACCGGGCAGGGAGGCCCAGAGAGGUGGCCCAACAACCCGAAUGGCAGCCCAGCCCAUCAGCAUCUCAUUUUGUCACUUUGCUACUUAGCCCUCAAAGAUUAUGUAAUUUCCAUUUCAGUUUAAGUCCUAAGAAGUAUAAGUACGAGAAUGUAUGGCAAACAGAGGCAUCGAUGAAAUGAAAUAUUGCUUAUCUUCUUCCCC